UACGAAGGGGGCUAGCGUUGCUCGGAAUCACUGGGCGUAAAGCGCACGUAGGCGGCUUACUAAGUCGGGUGUGAAAGCCCCGGGCUCAACCUGGGAAUGCCAUUCGAGACUGCAUAGCUAGGGUGCGGAAGAGGGAAGCGGAAUUUCCGGUGUAGCGGUGAAAUGCGUAGAUAUCGGAAGGAACACCAGUGGCGAAAGCGGCUUCCUGGUCCAGCACCGACGUUCAGGCACGAAAGCGUGGGGAGCAAACAGG
rnacentral:rRNA from 1 species